rnacentral:rRNA from 1 species
UGGGGAAUUUUGGACAAUGGGGGCAACCCUGAUCCAGCAAUGCCGCGUGUGUGAAGAAGGCCUUCGGGUUGUAAAGCACUUUUGUCCGGAAAGAAAUCGCCCUGGCUAAUAUCCGGGGUGGAUGACGGUACUGGAAGAAUAAGCACCGGCUAACUACGUGCCAGCAGCCGCGGUAAUACGUAGGGUGCAAGCGUUAAUCGGAAUUACUGGGCGUAAAGCGUGCGCAGGCGGUUGUGCAAGACAGAUGUGAAAUCCCCGGGCUUAACCUGGGAAUGGCAUUUGUGACUGCACGGCUAGAGUGUGUCAGAGGGGGGUAGAAUUCCACGUGUAGCAGUGAAAUGCGUAGAUAUGUGGAGGAACACCGAUGGCGAAGGCAGCCCCCUGGGAUAACACUGACGCUCAUGCACGAAAGCGUGGGGAGCAAACAGGAUUAAUACCCUGGUAGUCCACGCCCUAAACGAUGUCAACUAGUUGUCGGGUCUUAAUUGACUUGGUAACGCAGCUAACGCGUGAAG